UCCCUGUCGGUCGAGUGUUUAAGACUCUGUGCUUCCGAUGCAGGGACACAGGUUCAAUCCCUGGUUGGGGAA
rnacentral:tRNA from 1 species